UACGGAGGGGGCUAGCGUUGUUCGGAAUUACUGGGCGUAAAGCGCACGUAGGCGGCUUUGUAAGUUAGAGGUGAAAGCCUGGGGCUCAACUCCAGAACUGCCUUUAAGACUGCAUCGCUUGAACACGGGAGAGGUGAGUGGAAUUCCGAGUGUAGAGGUGAAAUUCGUAGAUACUCGGAAGAACACCAGUGGCGAAGGCGGCUCACUGGACCGUUGUUGACGCUGAGGUGCGAAAGCGUGGGGAGCAAACAGG
rnacentral:rRNA from 1 species